GCUUACGGCCAUACCACCCUGAGAACGCCCGAUCUCGUCCGAUCUCGGAAGCUAAGCAGGGUCGGGCCUGGUUAGUACUUGGAUGGGAGACCGCCUGGGAAUACCAGGUGCUGUAAGCG
ensembl:rRNA 5S_rRNA 5S ribosomal RNA